GGCCAACCGCAUCCAUCCUUCCAUCCCCUCACCAAACAGAGCAAGCCCCGCAGACCACACGAGCUCGAGGCCUCGAUCUGGGUCCUCCUCCUCACGUCGCAGCCCUGAGGAGAUGGUAGUUUGAGCUCCUCCUCUCGCGCACGUUACCUCCAAUAGUAGCACUAAAACCGGAACAUGCCGAUGUCGGCACCUCACGAGACUACCCCAUAGUCCAGGAGUUCCUGCUUGAGCGGGAUCUCUUGCACCCAAGACCCCAUGCGCCUUUGCCUCGCCUCGACUCUGCCUGCCGCCGAUGACUUCGGAGGAGCACCGCCAGGUCAGCUAAGCCAAGUCGUCGCCGUUCCUUCCCAUUUCCCGGGUCCCUCUCGUUCCGCUGUGUCAUUUGCCUUGUAGGUUGUCGCACUGCAGCUCAACACCAUGGCCAUCCUGAAGGAGCUCCGUGUCGCCAUUGUCGUGGUCGACCUCGAGUCCUCGACAAGCCCCGCCGUCGGGAAUGGGGCACACACCUUGGAUCCGUUGGGUCUCAACUUCCCUUGCCUCUCCGUCGCUCGGGUUUGCUUACCUCCAGGCUCCAGCCAUCUUUAGUGCCCAUCAAAGCCUCCACGCAGCUGCGGCCCAUCUUUGCUUUGCCACUGCAUCGAGCAGAGCUGCUGCUUGCUCGUGCCACUGAAGAACCAGCCAGCCUAGCUUCCCCAGGCCAGACCAGGCACAAGGUGAGCUCCCAACUCCCAUUGUUUUUCCUCACUCGCGCACCCAAUCGCUCCGACGAGCCCGCGUACGACUGCUAUAGAAAGGCCGACCCUUGAUGUUCGUUGUUUCUUUUAUUUCGGAACCCUUCUGGCAUGUAGAGGGUAUUUACAAGGGUACCCUAUUUACAAACGCCUGUAUAUUACAACAUAAGCAGCGAUCCAGCCGAGUUGGUUAGUGCAUUCAGACUCCAUCCAAGGGGUCUUGGGUUUGAACCCAGCGCACCCCUAAUUUCUAUGUUCGUUUCUGUUUGUUUGGAAUAUUUGUGUUUCAGUUCGCAGAUUUCACCUCUAAGCAUAUAGUCAUCUUAGCUCAGCUGGUCAUUCCAUCGAUCAUACACCUUAGGGGACUGGAGAUGGAAUCUGAGAAACCCCACACGUUUUCUUGUUUUUCAUUUGUUUUCAGAUUAAAAAAAAAAGACCCUCACAUUGUGAAAUCCAUGUGAAAAUAACCAUACAUAAAAUUUAGAAUAAUUUUUAUAUGUAAAGUGUUCAGAAUUUUGGGUAGAUUAAUAAUGUGCAACUUUCAUCCAUGUUUGAAAUGUUUAAUCUUGUUGUUUGAUUAAAUUUCCAUAAUUCCAUGCUAAAACAAUUUUCAUCAUAACUAAAUAACUGUAGCUCCGAUUAAAAUGAUUCACGUAUGCAACUUGACUAGAAAAAUGCAUAGAUUUGGUGCACUUUCUUUUCUUGUUUAAUAAAUAUAAAAUAUGUUUAGGACUGACCUGGGCAUUUUUUGAAAAUUGCAUACGGGGUCGUUUCGGAAAUGUUAUAUGUUGUUUCCAGUCUCAUUUAAAAUGUCUAGUUGAUUUAAUUGUUUGCUUAAUACCACCUUCACCUUAUGCCAUGCCUACCCAUGUUAAAGGACAUUUAAUAUUGAUGAGUACAUAAAUGGGAGUGAACUCAAUGAAUUGAUUGUGGAGUUUCCUCAAUAUGCAACUCAUUGCAUAUUGUACUUCACUUAAUGUGUAGGAGUUGAUUGUUGUUAUUGGCAUGCCUUGCAUAUUUUAACCGGACAUGCAUCAUAUUUGAAUGUGCAUCAUGCCAUGCAUAUGUUGUGGUGUUUAUCAUGUGUUGAUUGUUUGUUUCUGGAUUGUGUCUUCUCGAUAGAGUUCUGAACCGCUUCGGAGCGUGAGGAUUCAUUCAACUACGUCAGUUUGUCUACUUCACGGAUUCGUUCUUCUUCCAUGCUGGAUCCAGGCAAUAUGAUCAUUUCCCUAUAUACCAGUACUAUCAUUGCUAUGCUAGUUGUGUCAGUUCUAUCGCUAUGUCUCGCUAUCUACCACCUGUUAUGUCAAGCCUCCCUACAUUUCCAUGAAAAGCCUCUAACCCCUCCACAUCCGAGCAAACCUUUGUUUGGCUAUGUUACUGCUUGCUUGGCCCUUCUUAUAGCGUUUCCAGUUGCAAGUGUAGUUGCUUCCAUAUGAAACAUGGAUUUCUUGAUAUAUCACAAUAUUAUUUCUAUUUAAUUUCAUGCACCUAUAUACUUUGUAAAAAGUGGAAGGCUUGGCCUUCUAGAUCGGUGUUUUGUUCCACCUUUGCCGCCCUAGUUACUUGUGUACCGGUGUUAUGUUUCAUAUUGACCACUCCUAACAUGCUUGGGGGUGUUAUGGGGACCCCCUUGAUUUUCGUUCUUGGAUAAAACUCUUCCGGCAAGGUCCAACAUUGGUACUAUAUUUGCGCAACACAAUAAUAUUGAACACCGUUAGUAACACAUAAGGAGUUAGCGCUACCUGUGGAUUAAUUCAACAUAACACACGGGGCCAGUGCUGAUGGUGUUGGUCCCAAAUUGCUAGACUGUGGGGCCACCGUGAGGAAACUCGUGGUUUGGUUUUACUCGUAGGCUUUCCCAUUUGAUAGUACCCUGAGAAAGAGAUACGCGUGACUCAUAUUGGGAUCUUGCCUGCCGGGCGGUCUUGCUGGAUUUGUUUUACUCUUAUCGAAGGUCUUGUGCACUCGGAUAUCGAUGAUCCGUCGGGCUAUCUCGAGGUUGAGGUUUUCUCUCCAGGCCAGCUUGUGGUAGUUUGUGAUGGACUAGUUGGAGCAUCCGUGCAGAGCUAAAUCUUUUAUAAAGUCGUGCCCACGGUUAUGUGGCAACUUGGAAACUUUGUUUAACACCUGAUCAUAGCAAACUUGAACUAACUCAAUUAUAAUAUGGCAACUAUGUGCGUAACCAUGAUUGGCUCUUCUCAUGAGUUUUGCAUCUGAGAGAGGACAUGGUGGGGUUAUGUUUGACUCGUAAGUUGGUGUUUAAGAUCAUUUCUUGAUCAUUAUUAGUUCAUGUCCGUUACGCAUAGAUCACCCCUCUUAUCCUUGUACUCGUAAGUUAGCCACUCAAAUAAAAGCUUAGUUGCUUGUUGCAUCCUCACCAGUCAACCAUACCCCCACCCAUUAAGCUUUGCUAGUCUUGAUACCUUUGGAAAUGUGUUUGCUGAGUCCUUGUGGCUCACUAAUUACCACAACAACAGUUGCAGAUAUAGGUAAAGCGAUACUUUGGCGAGAGCGUGAUGAUUGUUCUAUUUGGAGUUUCUUCUUCUUUUUCUUCAUCGAUCAUAGGAUGGGUUUGAGGCCGGCAGCCUGUGAUAGCAAGGAUGGACGCCGCUCUAUCGUUUGAUUACGUCCGUAGUCGGACCCUGCUCUUCUACAUGGUGAUUGAUUGUAUUGUUGUAUUAUGAUGUUCAUGUUGUAGCUUGUGGCGAGUGUAAGCUCAUUCCAUGUACUCAUCUCUUCCGUACUUGUACUUGUAAUGAUAUCCAUUCUUUCAAAAUGACGAGAUGCGCUUCUAUCCCUGUCGAGGCCCUCGUGCCAAAAUAAGGAUACGAUCGCAUCUUGGGCUGUACAAUAUUCCUCCUCGAGAAUAACUCGAGGAGCACCCUUCUAUUGUGAUCACCUAUAGUCACACCAACAGGACUAGGGGUUUUACCUCAUCAGAAGGCCCCGAACCAGGAUAGAUCGACGUCAUAUGUCUUGCGCCUUCACCCAUUCCAAGAUGCCACCGGCGCCCAUCAGCCCC
rnacentral:lncRNA from 1 species